AGAAAAGUGAUUCCAAAAAACAUAAAAAACGAGUCAUGAUUCCACCCCUGAAAUUUAUGGAACACUCACCAUUGCCUUUUAUAACCACUUCAACAAUUUCCCAUAACCUUUUACACGAUAAAGUGGGUGAUUUUUCUCUCCCACUGCUGUAUCUUAUAGACCCUCUUUGCUUCACGUGAAUCUUUGUCCUUUUCAGCUUUUCUUUUCUUAAUCUUAAAUUAUGAAAACACUUUCUUGAAAUAAAAUCAGAUUAAAAACAAAAACACACCCGCACAUAGAGCGCAUUUUCUUUUUCUUGCUUUUACAAGUUUCAACUUGACCCGAUAUUUCGGAGCCGAAACGUCAAGUGUUCCGAAAUUUCGUAAUGGGUCGGUUACCAGAGACAGUCGUUGAAGCUAAACGACGACGCUUCGAGGUGGUCGAACGGCCACCCAGUUGGGAUCGAUCCACAGAGGUGGUUGUGGCUCAGAUCCAGGUGGCCGAUAUACGCAGCCGAUGACAAAGAUUUCGGUAUCUGACCCUUGAGGUUGUUGUACGAUAAAUCCAGUCCUAUGAAGUACGUUUUCGACCCGAAAACGUCUGGUAAUUUGCCUUCGAGCGAGUUUCGGCUGAGGUUGAGGAUGUUGAGUCCGGUGUUGCUCAGUAGAGAUGCCGGGAUGGAACCGGAGAGUCUGUUGCUGUCGAGGUUGAGAGUGGAGAGAACCGGCAUUGAACCGAGUUCAGCCGGGAUCACACCGGAGAUUUGGUUUACGGAGAGGUCAAAAUCGGCGAGCCGGUAAAGGCCUGAGAUGGAGCUCGGAAUGGUGCCGGUGAGCUGGUUCCGGCCGAGCAUGGCUCGGCUCAGCAUCGUGAGUUUUCCGAAAUCCUGCGGAAUUCCGCCGGUGAUCUGGUUGUUCCGGAGGUCCAGGUGCAUUAGUGACGCGAGGUUCACAACCGACGCCGGAAUGCUGCCGGAGAUCGAGUUAUCCGCCACGUUCAGAACCGUCAGUCGCUGCAACUUCCCGAUGUCCGCCGGGAUCACACCGGUGAUCUUGUUCCCGACGAGGUCGAGGAUCCGAAGCUUGCUGAGCGACGAAAUGCACGGUGGAAUCUCGCCAGAGAUGCCCUUCCA
rnacentral:lncRNA from 1 species